AUUGAACGCUGGCGGCAUGCCUAACACAUGCAAGUCGAACGGCAGCGCGGGGGCAACCCUGGCGGCGGGUGGCAGACGGGUGAGGAAUGCAUAGGAAUCUGCCCGGUUGUGGGGGAUAACGUAGGAACACUUACGCUAAUACCGCAUACGACCUUCGGGUGAAAGUGGGGGACCUUCGGGCCUCUCGCGAUCGGAGGAGCCUAUGCCCGAUUCGCUAGUUGGCGGGGUAAGAGCCCACCAAGGCGGCGAUCGGUAGCUGGUCUCAGAGGAUGGUCAGCCAGACUGGGAGUGAGAAACGGCCCAGACACCUACGGGAGGAAGCAGUGGGGAAUACUGGACGAUGGAGGCAAGGGUGAUCUAGCAAUACGGCGUGAAGGAAGACGGCCUUCGGGUUGGAAAGUACUUAUGGUCGGGAAGAAAUCCGUGUGGUUAAUCCGCGAACGGGAUGACGGUACCGAAAGAAUAAGCCCCGGCUAACUUCGUG
rnacentral:rRNA from 1 species